GAGACCAAAAAUCCAAAUAAUCAAACAAACGUGUAUAUACAGGUGGUACUAAUGAUUCUAUGCCAGCCCCAGAGGGAAGAAAUAAAUACAAGGUACAUAGUAGUUACCCAAACCUAAACAUAAGCUUUAAUAUAAUGUGCUACAUAAGGAUUAAUGAUAUCAGAUAACUAUGUUCCAAUCAUAAAUUCCUUCUGGGAAGGGUCUAGUAUUAAGAUCUUUACAAAGCAUGAAAUAUAGCUGCCUUUAAACCAACUAUCCAAAGGAUAGUAAUACUCAAGCACUAUCUAUCUAAAUUAAUUAGUUUGCGUGUGGACUUGAGUAUAAAUAAACUAUUCCUUGGGAAAACAGGAAAUUGUAAAGAUAAAGACACAAUGAAACAUUAAGGAGAGAUAUGAAAUAUAUAAUAGAAAAAUCAGUCUAUAGCAGGCUUUAUAAUUUAACUUAUCAGUCUGCUAUAGACUGAUUUUUCUAUUAUAUAUUAUUUAUUUAAAAUUAAAGCUUAUGUUUAGGUUUGGAUAACUACUAUGUACCUUGUAUUUACAUCUUCCCUCUGGGGCUGGCAUAGAAUCAUUAGUACCACCUGUAUAUACUUUUGUUUUGAUUAUUUGGAUUUUUGGUCUCUAAUAGUAUUUACUAGAGAUGCGGUAGCCAGAUUUUUUCAUUACACUGCAUUACGCUAUAUAUAUAUAUUUCCAGGUGAUGUGACUGGUCUCAGGAUUAUUUCCAUACUGAGACUAGUUCACAUCUUCGAAUGGUUUGCUGUUUUUUGUUCAAUUUGGGGUUAAGCCCCUUUUGAGAUACCUGGAGUCUCUUAUCGGUACAUAAGUCCCUGUGUUGUAUCAGUUACUACCCCCUUUUUCCUUGGGGUGGUUUAAUGGGUAUAUACACAGAGAUUUAGUAGUUCUACUUUUGCACUGUCCCCUGUUAAGUGAUGAUGUGACAAACUGUGCGUGUUUUAAUGUUUGUUUGUCCCAGGCUAUUUUGGGUGGGGGGGGAGGGGAGUGAAUUACAAUUACCAACGGUAACAUGUUUUAGUGGUUUUAUUAUUGCAUGUUAUUUGUACUGAAAGGCCACCAUAGGAUACCAAAUCCACUUCAAUUGUUCUGGUUCCUUGAGGAAAAUGUAAAAAGAGGUGAAACAUUUGUCUUUAAAUUUCAAUUACUAAAUAAAUUUUUAUCAUCUUUUCAGACCGCCAUAA